rnacentral:lncRNA from 1 species
CUCUCUCUCUCUCUCUCUCUCUCUGUGUGUGUGUGACUAUCAUAAAUAAAUAAAAUUAUUUUAAAAAAAAUAAAAAAUAAAAUAAAAUAAAAAUAAAAAAAUAGCAAUAAUAUUUUUGCAAAAGAGACCAAGAAGUGAUUAAGUGAAAUUAGACAAUGGAGGAAAGCAAAUUUGUAUGAAAAUAAUGUAAAAUCCCUUAUCAAAUCCCCCAAAAUAAAAAUCCUUAGUUUUUGCAUAUAUAGAAAGUAUAUAGAGAUAUAUAGAAAUAUGUACUAAGUUUUAUAUGUACUCAGUUUUAUAUAUAUACUAUAUAUAAAAUUAUAUCCAAAAAUUUAAAUUUAAAUUUAAUUAUAUAUGCAUGUAUAUAUAAUGCAUAUCUGCACAUUAUAUGCAUAAAAAACUAAAGCCAUUAAACACAUAGAAAAAUAUAGACCUAUAUGUAGAUAUUUAGUUAUAUAUAGAACUAUAUAUAUAUAAAUUUAUAUAUAAAUUUAUAUAUAUAUAAAUUUAUAUUUAUUUAUUUAUAUUUAUAUUUAUAAGUUUAAAAUGUAAUUACACAUUACAUAUACAUACACAUAUAUGUGUAUAUUUAUAAUAUAAAUGUAUAUGUGUGUAUAAAUAUACACACAUAAACACAAAUUAUAGAGAGAAAAAUUUAAAUUAAUAGACAGCCUUACCUCUAGACCGGACACAAAGAAAUUUUAACAAGUCAAAUGUAAAAUUCAGUAAUUGAAGCAGAUAAGCUCAAAUAGAUAAAAAUGAGGAAACUUUGUAAAGCACCUGAUAGAUUGGAGCAUAAUGUUCCUAGAAGAAUUAAGAAGAAAUUAUGGCCAAGAGCAAUAUAUAUAAAUAAAAUUGCAUGACAGCUCUAUAUUUGAAAAUAUAUGGACCCUUAUGAUGAACAUAAACACCAAAGCCAAGCACAAAAUUAAAUCUAUCCUUGGAUAUGAUAGUUUAAAACUUUUAAGCAUCAAAGAUAAAGAGAAAAGAAACUUUACACUAUCAAAAAGAAAACGCUAAAUAAUUAAUAAUAAUUAGAUUUUUUUUGAAGAUUUUAUUUACUUAUUCACAAGAGGCACAGAGAAAGGCAGAGACAUAGGCAGAAAGAGAAGCAGGCUCCCUGCAGGGAGACUGAUGUGGGACUCGAUCCCAGGACCCCAGGACCACAACCUGAGCCGAAGGCAGACAUUCAACCACUUGAGCCACUCAGAUGCCCUGAUAAUUAGAUUUUUUUAAUGGUUUGUUUUUAAGUAUUUAAUUUAUUUAU